AGUAAGUUAGCAUAAUAGUGCAUUGAACUUAGAAUUCAAAGACGGGCUUUCCCCACUUAUUA
rnacentral:tRNA from 1 species